UACGGAGGGUGCGAGCGUUAAUCGGAAUUACUGGGCGUAAAGCGCGCGUAGGCGGUCUGAUCAGCCGGUUGUGAAAGCCCCGGGCUCAACCUGGGAACGGCAUCCGGAACUGUCAGGCUAGAGUGCAGGAGAGGAAGGUAGAAUUCCUGGUGUAGCGGUGAAAUGCGUAGAGAUCGGGAGGAAUACCAGUGGCGAAGGCGGCCUUCUGGACUGACACUGACGCUGAGGUGCGAAAGCGUGGGUAGCAAACAGGAUUAGAUACCCUGGUA
rnacentral:rRNA from 1 species